AACGAACGCUGGCGGCAGGUCUUAGGCAUGCAAGUCGAACGGGUGAAGCAGAGCUUGCUCUGUGGAUCUAGUGGCGCACGAGUGAGUAACGCGUGGGAAACUGCCCACCACUGGGGAAUAACGUUUGGAAACGAACGCUAAUACCGCAUACGCCGGAAACGGGAAAGAUUUAUCGGUGGUGGAUGUGCCCGCGUUGGAGUAGCUUGUUGGUGGGGUAACGGCCUACCAAGGCGAUGAUCCAUAGCUGGUCUGAGAGGACGAUCAGCCACGCUGGAACUGAGACACGGUCCAG
rnacentral:rRNA from 1 species